AACGAACGCUGGCGGCAGGCCUAACACAUGCAAGUCGAACGCUCCGCAAGGAGAGUGGCAGACGGGUGAGUAACACGUGGGAAUCUUCCUGUUGGUUCGGAAUAGCUCAGGGAAACUUGGGGUAAUACCGGAUAAGCCCGAGAGGGGAAAGGAUUAUCGCCGACAGAUGAGCCCGCGUCCGAUUAGCUAGUUGGUGAGGUAAUGGCUCACCAAGGCGACGAUCAGUAGCUGGCUGAGAGGAUGACCAGCCACACUGGGACUGAGACACGGCCCAGACUCCUACGGGAGGCAGCAGUGGGGAAUAUUGGACAAUGGGCGCAAGCCUGAUCCAGCCAUGCCGCGUGAGUGACGAAGGUCUUC
rnacentral:rRNA from 1 species